rnacentral:rRNA from 1 species
CAGUAGCCGCGGUAAUACGUAGGGUGCAAGCGUUGUCCGGAAUUAUUGGGCGUAAAGAGCUCGUAGGCGGUUUGUCGCGUCUGCUGUGAAAACCCGAGGCUCAACCUCGGGCCUGCAGUGGGUACGGGCAGACUAGAGUGCGGUAGGGGAGAUUGGAAUUCCUGGUGUAGCGGUGGAACGCGCAGAUAUCAGGAGGAACACCGAUGGCGAAGGCAGAUCUCUGGGCCGUAACUGACGCUGAGGAGCGAAAGCAUGGGGAGCGAACAGGAUUAGAUACCCCGGUAGUCCCUGUCUUUAUACA